rnacentral:rRNA from 1 species
GAUGAACGCUGGCGGCGUGCCUAAUACAUGCAAGUCGAGCGAACAGACGAGGAGCUUGCUCCUCUGACGUUAGCGGCGGACGGGUGAGUAACACGUGGAUAACCUACCUAUAAGACUGGGAUAACUUCGGGAAACCGGAGCUAAUACCGGAUAAUAUAUUGAACCGCAUGGUUCAAUAGUGAAAGACGGUUUUGCUGUCACUUAUAGAUGAAUCCGCGCCGCAUUAGCUAGUUGGUAAGGUAACGGCUUACCAGGGCAACGAUGCGUAGCCGACCUGAGAGGGUGAUCGGCCACACUGGAACUGAGACACGGUCCAGACUCCUACGGGAGGCAGCAGUAGGGAAUCUUCCGCAAUGGGCGAAAGCCUGACGGAGCAACGCCGCGUGAGUGAUGAAGGUCUUCGGAUCGUAAAACUCUGUUAUUAGGGAAGAACAAAUGUGUAAGUAACUAUGCACGUCUUGACGGUACCUAAUCAGAAAGCCACGGCUAACUACGUG